GUCGGAACGGCGUUCCGGGUCAAAAACUCAGAGCGUAUUGCCGUAGCCACCACUACACAACAGCAGUUUGAAUGCAUAUGCUGACGUGUCCAUCCCUAUCUGUUUCUUCAGGGAAUUUGAAGAAUACAAACAAAACGACACUCACAGCGAGAAGUUAAAAACAAACUGAAGACGGGGGAAUGGAAGAGGCAAGAAUGCACCGGUGGGAGUGAGGUGUGGAAAGAAUUUCAAUUGAUCGUGGAAGAUGCAACAAAAAACUGUGUCGGCUUCGUCGAAUGCAACAAAUAUAUACCCAAAACUUUCCAAGUUGGCAAGAAAAAGUGUUGUGCAUCCCUGCAAGCAGCAGCAGCAGCUGCUAGAGAGUUUUCAGUGCUGCAGGCCGCACAAUAGAUCAGCGGAGAACGUCACUGAAACCUGCCAGUGGACGCGAUCUUAUUCCUACACGACGACGACCAAAAAAAUAUAAACACUCAACAAAGAGCAGGACAUGAGGCCGCAAGUUGCAGACUGCAGUCAAGGCCAGCCCGCAGUUUAAAAGCUUUUAUUCC